GAUAAACGCUGGCGGCGUGCUUAGCACAUGCAAGUCGAACGAAGUUUUUCCUUCGGGAGACACUUAGUGGCGGACGGGUGAGUAACGCGUGGGUAACCUGCCCUGUACAGGGGGACAACAGCUGGAAACGGCUGCUAAUACCGCAUAAGCACUUAGCACUGCAUGGUGCAUAGGGAAAAGGAGCAAUCCGGUACAGGAUGGACCCGCGUCUGAUUAGCCAGUUGGCAGGGUAACGGCCUACCAAAGCGACGAUCAGUAGCCGAUCUGAGAGGAUGUACGGCCACAUUGGGACUGAGACACGGCCCAGACUCCUACGGGAGGCAGCAGUGGGGAAUAUUGCACAAUGGAGGAAACUCUGAUGCAGCGACGCCGCGUGAGUGAAGAAGUAUUUCGGUAUGUAAAGCUCUAUCAGCAGGGAAGAAAAUGACGGUACCUGACGAAGAAGCACCGGCUAAAUACGUG
rnacentral:rRNA from 1 species